rnacentral:lncRNA from 1 species
UAAAAUCCAUAUUGGAGUUCUGCAUUCUUGCCUAAAACUAGACAAGGCGUCUCGUUGAGAGGAAAUGAUGCCGUUUACAACAUUACCGCUGUUCACGUUCUUUUCUAUACUUCUUGUUUCGUGCACUGGCAAGAAUUUGACUAUAGAGGAAUGUCUCACAAAAAUCGAAAAACUGGAUGAAAGACUACAGAAUCUGGAGAGCGUUUCAAGCGUUUCAAGAAGACUUCUACAACCACCAGGAGAAUCAAUUCCUUCUAAAGUAGCAUUUUAUACGAAA